GGCUGAGAGAGCGCAGCCUGGGCCGCGGGCUGUUCGUGGACCCGGCGCGGGACAAUUUCCGCACCAUGACUAACCUCUAUGGUUCCAUCCAUCCCGCGGACUCGGUGUACCUCAGCACCCGCACCCACGGCGCGGUCUUCAACCUCGAGUACUCGCCCGACGGGCUUGUGUUUUUCUCACCGAAGCGUCUGGCAAGGGUAGGAGUCUGCAGGUUCCGUGUACUCUGUGCCUGACUUCCCUUGAGGGUUGACAAGUGUGCUUUCCUUGGCUCCUGAAGGAUACUAAGACGCGGCAGAGAGGUGUCUUAUGAUGGGGGCGUUUGUGAACUCCCCCGGCUAGACUACAUGCUUCUGUUACGGGUGUCCAGCCUUUUUCCUGGCGGAUUAAAUAUUUCAUGUUUGG